AGUGAACGCUGGCGGUAGGCCUAACACAUGCAAGUCGAACGGCAGCACAGGAGAGCUUGCUCUCUAGGUGGCGAGUGGCGGACGGGUGAGGAAUACAUCGGAAUCUGCCCAGUCGUGGGGGAUAACGUAGGGAAACUUACGCUAAUACCGCAUACGACCUUCGGGUGAAAGAGGGGGAUCGCAAGACCUCUCGCGAUUGGAUGAGCCGAUGUCGGAUUAGCUAGUUAGCGGGGUAAUGGCCCACCAAGGCGACGAUCCGUAGCUGGUCUGAGAGGAUGAUCAGCCACACUGGAACUGAGACACGGUCCAGACUCCUACGGGAGGCAGCAGUGGGGAAUAUUGGACAAUGGGCGCAAGCCUGAUCCAGCCAUACCGCGUGGGUGAAGAAGGCCUUCGGGUUGUAAAGCCCUUUUGUUGGGAAAGAAAUCUUUCAGGCUAAUACCCUGGGAGGAUGACGGUACCCAAAGAACAAGCACCGGCUAACUUCGUG
rnacentral:rRNA from 1 species